rnacentral:misc_RNA from 1 species
GUAGGUGAACCUGCGGAAGGAUCAUUAAUGAGUUGUCAUGGGGUUCGAUGCUGGCAGCCAGUUUUUGGAUGCAUGUGCUUGCCCUAACAAUCAUCUUCUUCCAAACACCUGUGCACAUUUUUGAGGGAGUCUUGAGUUGGUUGCCGCUCUUGGGUGAUUUUCUCACAUUCCCUUAAACCAUUAUACGCUAUUAACAAUGUUGAACGUGCUCUGUGCCGCAAGGCCAUUAAUAUAAUACAACUUUUAACAACGGAUCUCUUGGCUCUC